GAUUAGAGUUUGAUCCUGGCUCAGAUUGAACGCUGGCGGCAUGCUUUACACAUGCAAGUCGAACGGUAACAGGGAGCUUGCUCCGCUGACGAGUGGCGAACGGGUGAGUAAUGCAUCGGAACGUACCCAGUCGUGGGGGAUAACGUAGCGAAAGUUACGCUAAUACCGCAUACGUCCUGAGGGAGAAAGCGGGGGACCGAAAGGCCUCGCGCGAUUGGAGCGGCCGAUGUCGGAUUAGCUAGUUGGUAGGGUAAAGGCCUACCAAGGCGACGAUCCGUAGCGGGUCUGAGAGGAUGAUCCGCCACACUGGGACUGAGACACGGCCCAGACUCCUACGGGAGGCAGCAGUGGGGAAUUUUGGACAAUGGGCGCAAGCCUGAUCCAGCCAUGCCGCGUGAGUGAAGAAGGCCUUCGGGUUGUAAAGCUCUUUCAGGUGGAAAGAAAACGCAUGGGUCAAUACCCUGUGUGGAUG
rnacentral:rRNA from 1 species